rnacentral:rRNA from 1 species
ACAGCAGUCGCCACGGGAAUACGUAGGGUGCAAGCGUUAAUCGGAAUUACUGGGCGUAAAGCGUGCGCAGGCGGUUUGUUAAGACAGAUGUGAAAUCCCCGGGCUCAACCUGGGAACUGCAUUUGUGACUGGCAAGCUAGAGUAUGGCAGAGGGGGGUGGAAUUCCGCGUGUAGUAGUGAAAUGCGUAGAGAUGUGGAGGAACACCAGUGGCGAAGGCGACUCUCUGGUCUGUAACUGACGCUGAGGAGCGAAAGCGUGGGGAGCGAACAGGAUUAGAUACCCCGGUAGUCCCUGUCUCUUAUAC